rnacentral:lncRNA from 1 species
AAAAGAUAACUAUGAAUACCAGCUCUCCAGGAAAUGCAGUUAUCACCAAUUAAGUCCAUUACUGAGUCAUCAACAGCUAGGAAAAUGUUUAUUCCCAAAUCAUUGAAAGAGCAGGUCGGACAGGGAGCUGGUCAAAUAUGAAAUAAAAUUGCCCUCCUUGCUUCUGUGAUGACUGAGCCAUCCAGGCAUAAUGCUAUUAUGACAGCUGGGAAUCAUUUGAAAAUGAGCUUCACUUCACUUGGCAUGUCAGAUGGCACCUUCUACCUCCUCGCAGGUAUACCCCGUUCAACAGAUCCUCCCAGACACAGGAGAACUCAACGUAGACUCCGUUUAUCAUGGCUGCUACCUAAUAAGAAACUGCUUUCCUGAAAAAUAUUUAUCAUGAAUUCAGCAGCUGUUAGGUGAAGCUGCAAAAAUCGACUUCUCUCCAUGUUGCCAAAUUCCUGGCUUUGUAGACGCAGAAUAAUACGUAGGGUGUAAUACCAUUUGUGCCAAAAGGUGCAGAGAGGGAAGAAUGCAUGCAUAUUCGCAUGUGUGAAUGGAAGAACGGACAAGAAACUUAGAAUAUUAGUUUACCUUGGGGACGUGAACUGGAAGGCUGGGGAACAGGGGUUCAGAUGGAGACUUCAUGGUAUAUCCUUUCUACUUUCCUAAUUUUGAAACUUGUGAAUAUGUUGACAAUUGAAAAAUUAAAUUUAAAUGAUUCCCAGCAUUGUGACUGUCUGUCACCUUGCUUAUAAUUGCUGAUGAUAUGAGGUCUUUGAUUUUACCAUCACCACUCAUCUCCUUGAUGGUCAUUUUUUGG